UCCAGCGGUCAUCAUCUCUGACGAUUUCUCCCUCUGGUUUGAGCAAAACAAGAUAGUUAAAGAGAUUUUAGUUGUCACUCGUGUCCUACAUUCUGAAAGAAAAUCCCAUUGGUUCUUCUAAACCGCUCGGCAAUAGAUUCAGAAAGGAGGACAUGCGACUGUUGGGAUCGGAUGCAUUUACGCGGAGGUCAAAUUCUUUACAAAGAGACAUCUGAGUAGAUCAUGCUGGCUAUGCUCUUGACCUGGACCAUAAUAGCCUUAACAGAGAACCUACUCGGUGGCAGCAAGAUGACUCUUUCUCAUCAUCUAGUCCUAAACAUCACAUUUCUUGUAGGCUGAGCAGAGAGUGCGUGAAGAAAGUGAGAAGCUGAGGCAGCAAGAGCAUGAGCAAAUUGCAGAAAAGAGAAGCAAGAUUUGGCUGGCCUUUUCUUUUAGUUAUAAUUAUAUCAAUUCAGAAAGAAAGAGAAUCAAAGUAUUUGGUUCUUGUCUGCUUAGUUAAUGAAGCGGUUGACAUUUACUCUCUUUUGUCUGAUUAGAAUUGCUGCCAAGGCAGAAGAAAAGAAAGAAAGAUGCAACCUUGAUUGAGCGGCAAAAGGAGCAAGUUGGUUUCUUUCUGCUGUUAUUCUCAAGGAAAGUUGAGGCGCAGGUGCAUCUAUAGUGAUAUAUAGGAUUUCCUGGAGCAGAAGAGCGCUGGGCGACAGGAGCUAUCUGAAUAUCAGAAACAGAUUGGGGAUCAGUAUAUUGCAAAGGUCGAGAAGCAGUUGGAGAGGUGGCAAAAUGCCAGGAAAGCGAGAAAUGCAAACCUUGAUUUUAUUUGUUCGGGUUCCUUUAAUUGUGUUGACUUGAUAAACCUAACCAAAUCGAUAGUAUAUGUCAAGACAAUAAUUUUGCUGUCAACAAUAAGGUUAUGAUCCCUCUUGCACCUAAUGAAAAAUGUU